rnacentral:rRNA from 1 species
UUCUAGUUUUGUAACUAAAAUGGUUUGGCAGUGAGCGAUUCUUAUUAGGGGAAUAUGCAUAGUGAAGGAUGGUCCACCUAUUAGUUUACUCUUUUUAUGUUGGUGUAUGUCUGGUUUGAUAUUAUUGUUGAAUAAUUUAAGUUUGUGUAGUUUUAGUUAAGCUAAGUCUAUGUGCUGCUUAUUGGAGUUUUUGUGUGUUACAUUAAUAAGGGUGUUAUUGUAAGAUGAUGUGA